rnacentral:tRNA from 1 species
AGUGAGGUGCCUGAUAAAAGGGUUACUUUGAUAGAGUAGAUCAUGUAAGAUAAAUCUUACCCUUACUA